AAAGGAUGCUCCUAUAGUUACUCCAUUAAUGGAUUAUGUACGUCAGAAAAGAGCUGUGACGAGUGGAGCUCGGAAGUCUAUCUCUAAUGGAAAAUCAAGUAAAAGUGUUGGUGGUACAAGCUCAAGAAGUCCUAGCUCAACUGCAUCUAGACGAGGCUCUGAAAAGAGAACUUCUACAACCAUGUAUGUUCAACGGGACAGUUCUAAGGUUGGCAACAGUAAGGACAAAUCAUAUAUUCUAGCGUCAAAAUGUGGUUAUCAGCAACUCUCUGACAAGUCUAGUGCUUCUGCUCCUGGAUCUUGGAUUGAUGUAGUGGAAGGAGAAAUUGGUCGUUCAGUAACUUCUGAUAGUGGGAAGAAGAAAAUUCUGCUCUUGAAGGGGAAGGAAAAAGAAAGUCCUAAUGUUUCUGGUGGUUCAUUAGCUCAACAGAAUGUGUCAUCUGCUCUCAAGAAUUCACCUAGUUUAUCUGCUCUGAAACUGAACCAGCACCAAGAGGUAGGUGGCAGAAUCAUCAGAAGUAUUCUUCUAAAGGAUGCCCGACAGAAUCAGUCAGCAUUUCAAUCAGAUCAAAU
rnacentral:misc_RNA from 1 species